CGCCGGCCUCCCGGGCGGCCCUGUCAGAGUGCGGCGGCGGGCGGCGCGGGGCUGGUCUUUGCAGCUGGCGAGGAGGCUCGCGCGGCACACCCCCGUUGGUCGGCGCCUCUCUUCAGCGCGCGCGGACAUGGCCCAGGCAGCGGCGCACUGCCCCAGCGCCCGCGGCUCCGGGGACGGCGAGACGGGAAAGCCCAGGAAGGUGGCGCUCAUCACAGGCAUCACGGGCCAGGACGGCUCCUACUUGGCUGAGUUCCUGCUGGAGAAGGGCUACGAGGUCCAUGGAAUUGUACGGCGAUCCAGUUCAUUCAAUACUGGUCGAAUUGAACAUCUGUAUAAGAACCCCCAGGCUCAUAUUGAAGGAAACAUGAAACUGCACUAUGGUGACCUCACCGACAGUACCUGCCUCGUAAAGAUCAUCAAUGAAGUGAAGCCGACCGAGAUCUACAACCUCGGAGCCCAGAGCCACGUCAAGAUUUCUUUUGACCUGGCUGAAUAUACUGCGGACGUCGAUGGGGUCGGCACCUUACGGCUUCUGGAUGCAGUGAAGACCUGUGGCCUUAUCAACUCUGUGAAGUUCUACCAAGCCUCAACAAGCGAGCUUUAUGGGAAAGUGCAGGAAAUACCGCAGAAGGAGACCACUCCUUUCUACCCGCGCUCGCCAUACGGGGCAGCAAAGCUCUAUGCCUAUUGGAUUGUGGUGAACUUCCGGGAGGCGUAUAAUCUGUUUGCAGUGAAUGGCAUCCUCUUCAAUCAUGAGAGCCCCAGGAGAGGAGCUAAUUUUGUUACUCGAAAAAUUAGCCGGUCAGUAGCUAAGAUUUACCUUGGACAACUGGAAUGCUUCAGCUUGGGGAAUCUGGAUGCCAAACGAGAUUGGGGCCACGCCAAGGACUACGUGGAGAGAUCCAUGGUGACUCUGUGGCCAGACGUGAAGGAGCAUGUUGGUGACACUGUGUUUGUCUCGGAGUCUGCCGGUCCUUGUUUAGGUGCUUUUACAGAUUUCCUGUGCUCGGGAGACUAUUUCUGUCCUCAAUGAUGCCUCUCUGGGAAACCGGAUCUGGUUUCCUAAGCAAACAAGCAGUUCCCUUGCUAACCCAGAGGGAAAAAGAUACAUGACAUUUUGAAAACAGGCCAGAAAAAUUCAACACAAAGGCCUGAGACUGUUACGUAAACACACAAGUAACAAGACGACUGUCUGUGAGCCCAGUGGGUCUGCGGCAAGGACCAUGCCGUCAUCUCAUCCCCAAAUGCCCAGGGUACCACUGCUCCUGGGUGUUGCACAACCGUGGCACAAAGGGCCCACAUUUGUAUUUGUUUAACAGCAAAGUAUUUCAGAAACACUGUGGCUCAAAGACCUCAAAAAGGUCUUCCCAAAUGAUGUCAUUUUGAAGAUUCCUUGCCGAGAUGUGUCAGUACAGCAACCGCAGGAGCCAAGAUAUCCGGGAGAGUAAGACGUGAGGGUUGAGAGGUUCUGGCUUUUCAGCAAGAGUGUCACAUGUUCCGAUUUCACAAACACACAUACAAAGUUAAGUCAUUCUCGUUGGCGUUCAAAGCCUGAUUUGUUCCAUAAUACAGGUGGGUUUUGCAUAUUAAGGAUUCCCUUGGCUCCGACAGUAACCCAUGUUGAUGCUCUAAAAAGCAUUUGCUCACUUAUGGGUUCUGAAAGAAGUUGACAUUUCAUGAUUUCUAAAAAAAGUGUCAUCAUUAACUAAGAAUCCAUAUUUCGCUAUCUCCAUUUUAAGAAAUAUUACCAUCCUUUGCAUUUCUAAAUAUAUUAAAAUGAGGUUACUUCACAGACUUAGGAGUAAAAGUAGAUGUGGCCAAAAUUAAAAUCAACAAGGCUAAGCAUGAAAAAUGAGAAGCAUUGUUUGUUUAAAACACAUCUGCAUCCUGGCGCUUUAGAGUAGAGAAGCCUUGGCCAGCACAGAUCAAACAAGUUAUAAUAGCAUCUCAUUUACAUGUGCUUUAAUUAUGUAAUCCCUCUCAUUUAUACGUAAACGCGCUGUAUUUGUAAAUCUUUAGAUUAAGUGACUAAUAUGUUCUUAUUUAUGGAUGAAUUUUAAUGAUGAAGAGUAGAGAGCGUUUGCCAGACGGGGCGUAGGUGAUCCCAGCUGGGUCAGUGAGCCUGAGUCUUAACAAGGUUUUAUACAUCAGUUUAUCCAUCUGUGAAAAGGACAUAAUAGUCGUCCUGUUAAAAAUCAGCGUUAAUGUGCUAUACAUCCCUGAUGAGAAUCUAUCUCUUCCUUGUAAACAUUUUUCCAACAAUUUAUAGAAAGCCAUUUCCUGUUGCUGAUUCAGAUUCACUAACUUCUGUUCUUAGUCUUGUUUCCUAGAUCAAAAUGAUUUAAAAAUUAUUUAAGUGGG